rnacentral:rRNA from 1 species
AGUGAACGCUGGCGGUAGGCCUAACACAUGCAAGUCGAACGGCAGCACAGUAAGAGCUUGCUCUUACGGGUGGCGAGUGGCGGACGGGUGAGGAAUACAUCGGAAUCUACUUUUUCGUGGGGGAUAACGUAGGGAAACUUACGCUAAUACCGCAUACGACCUACGGGUGAAAGCAGGGGAUCUUCGGACCUUGCGCGAUUGAAUGAGCCGAUGUCGGAUUAGCUAGUUGGCGGGGUAAAGGCCCACCAAGGCGACGAUCCGUAGCUGGUCUGAGAAGAUGAUCAGCCAAACUGAAACUGAGACACGGUCCAGACUCUUACGGGAGGCAGCAGGGGGGAAUAUUGGACAAUGGGCGAAAGCCUGAUCCAGCCAUCCGGGGUGGGUGAAGAAGGCCUUCGGGUUGUAAAGCCCUUUUGUUGGGAAAGAAAAGAAGCAGGUUAAUACCCCGCUGUUCUGACGGUACCCAAAGAAUAAGCACCGGCUAACUUCGG